UACAGAGGAGCCAAGCGUUGUCCGGAUUGACUGGGCGUAAAGCACACGCAGGCGGACGCGCGCGUGGGGUGUGAAAUCUGGCCGCUUAACGGCCAGGCGCCAUCCCAUACGGCGCGUCUGGAGCAAUGCAGAGGUCGGUGGAAUUGCCGGUGUAGUGGUGAAAUGCGUAGGAGAGUCGGAGCAAGGAACCGGAACCCAGGGGCAACGACGCCGGACUUG
rnacentral:rRNA from 1 species